rnacentral:lncRNA from 1 species
AUGUUUGCCUUGUCCGUGUAUCGUAGGCUUUCUAAAGGCAAAGAUCAUAGCCUCGGGAUUUUUCACAAUGACUGGCAUACUAGGGCCCCCUCUCAGGUCCCCUCCCUCCUCAGGAGCUUUGUAUUAUCCAUUUGCUAUUAUUCAGUAAACUUUCUUUGCUGUUUAAAAAAAAAAAAAUAUUUUUUUUUUUUUAGAAGUUUUAUAACUGUAGCUUGUAUAUUUAGGUCGUUGGUCUACUUCAAGUUAAUUUUUGUGUAUGAUAUGGUAUAAGAGUUGAAAUAUUCAAUUAUUUCUGCAACACUUGUUGAAAAACAUUUAUUUCCAUAUUUUAUUGCCUUGGCAUAUUUGUCCAAAGUUACUUGACCAUAUAUGUGUGGCCUGGUUUUGGAUUUUUACGUUUUCUUUUAUUGAUCCGUAGAUCUCAAUACUACAUACUGCUGGCUAGUGUAGCUUAAUAAUAAGUCUGAGAAUCCAGUGGAGUUAAUCCUAUAAACUUUUAUUCUCAAAAAUUGCUUUGACUACUUUGGGCCAUUUGUAUUCUACAUUAAUUUUAGAAUCAUCUUCUGAAUUCCUACAAAAAACCUGGAAUUUUUAAUAAACUCUUUUACUAAACUCUUUUACUCAACUCUAUAGAUAAAUUUGGAAGACAAGUAACAUCUUUAAAAUAUAGAGUCUGCCAGUCUCUUUUUUUAUUUGUCAUGGGGUGGUACUAUAGUUUAACUUUUCAACCAUGGAGGGACAUUUACGAUUAGUUUUUGGAUAUUAUGAUCAAUGUUGCUAUUCACAUUUAUGUACAGGUUUUACAUAAGCAUAGGUUUUUAUUUCUGUGGCAUAAAUGCCCAAGGAUUAAAAACUGCUAAGUUGUAUGGUAAAUACAUUUUUAGUUUUAGAAGAGUUUGCCUGCUUUCCAGUAUAGGUGUAUUGUUUAGUGUUUUCCAUUGACAUUAUUAUUUUUAAUUUUACCCCUUCUCACAGGUGCAUAGUGAUACCUCAUUAUGGUUUUAAACUGUAGUCCCCUAAUAAUUAAUGAUAUUGAACAUCAUUUUAUGUGUUUAUUCAUCAUUUGUAUACUCUCUUCAGUGAAAUGUCUGUUCAUGUCUUUGACCUAUUUUCUAUUUGGAUAGUUUUAUUUGUUUUUUUUUUCCUCUUGAGAUUUGAGAGUUCUUUAUAUUUUCUAGAUAAGUCUUUUGUCAGCUUUGUGGUAUUCAGAUAUUUUCCCCUCUCUGUUAUUUGUCUCUUCAUGUCUUUAACAGAGUUAUUUGUAGAUUAGAAGUUUUAAAUUUUAAUGAGGUCCUGUUUAUUGCUUUUUCCUUUUAUGGAUCAUGCAUUUGGGUUCAUAUCUAAGAACGCUUAGACUAGAUCUCUUUUCCCCUCUCUCCCCUCCAGCCUGAAACUUUAUACUUUACAUUUUACAUGAAUUUUGUGAUUCAUUUAAUUUUUGCAUAAGACAUAAUGGGCUGUGGUGCAUUAUUUUGCCUGUAGAUGUCCAAUUGCUUUGGCAUUAUUUGUUGAAAGGCUAUUCUUCUAUUUAAUUGCUUUUCACCUUUGUCAAAGAUCGGUUGGGCAUAUUUGUGUGAGUCUAUUUCUGGCUUCUCUAUUCUGCUCUAUUAAUCUGUGUGUCUUCUCUCUGCACAUACCACAUAGCCUUGAUUGUUGAAACCAUAUAGUAAGGCUCAGUAAUGUGUAGAAUAUUCCUCUCAUCUUGUUUUUCUAAACAAUUGUUUUAUCUAUUCCAUAUCCUUUUCCUUUUCAUAUAAAAUAUAGACUAAACAUAUUUACGUCUCUGUGGGAUUUUGAAAGUAUUUGUCCUAAUCUUAUAGAACAAUUCAGGGUACUUGACAUUUUUCCCAUGUCCAGUCUUCUAAUCCAUAAACAUAGUCUGUCCAGUUAUUUAGAUCUCCUUUGUUUGCUUUUAUAACAUUUUGUAAUUUUAUAGGAUGCAGAUCCUGGAUAUGUACUGUUCAAUUUACAUCCAAGUAUUUCAUUUUCUUUGGAGUGGCUGUAAGUCAUACUGUGUAUAAUUUCAGUUUCUACAAUAUAUAGAAAUACUGUUGAUUUUUGUGUUGAUUUUGUAUCCUGUGGCUCGUUUAAAUUCACGUCUUUAGGAGUUUCUGGUUGAUUCAUUGGGAUUUUCAUGCCAUCUUCAAAUAGGGACACUUUUAUUUCUAUCUUUCUAAACUGUAUGCAUUUUACACUUGGGUUUUUCUGUUUGUCUGGUUUUUUCUUGUCUUGUUCUUAUUGUGCUGACUGAAAUUCCAGUAGUAUGUUGAAUAGGAAUGAGAGUGAACAUCUUUUGUUGUUGUUAUUUCUAAGAUUAGGGGGAAAACAUUCAGAAUUUCUUGAUUAAGUAUGAUAAUGUUCAUAGAUUUGUUGUAGGGGACAUAUGUGUCUCAGUUGACUGAGCAUCUGACUCUUGAUUUUGGCUCAGGUCAUGAUCUUGGGGUCCUGGGGUUGAGCUCUGGUGGGCAUGGGACUCCAUGCUCAGUGGGGAAUCUGCGUGGGAGUCUCCCUCUUCCUCUCUCUCUCUCCCUCCCUCUACCCGUUUCCCCACCUGUGCUCUCUCUCUCUCCCUUUCAAAUAAAUAAAAAUCUUAAAAAAAUUAAUUUUUUGUAGAUGUUCUUUAUCAAGUUAAGAAAACUCCCCUCUAUUCCAAGAUUGCUAAGCAUUUUCUUUUAUCCUGAACGGAUAUUGAUAUUGUCAAAAGAUUAUUUUUCCACAUCAGUUUCUAUGAUCAUGAUUUUUUUUCUUUAUCUGGUUUGGAAUCUAAUUAUUCCUUUACUGAUUUUAGGGACAUUGGAAUCAAAUUAUAUCAAGAAAGGAGUCACAAUCUCCAGGAGUAUGAAAAUGCAUAUUUUUCCCCAUUAAUUAUGUAAAUCUCUGCUUUAUAUAUUAUGAAGACCAUUGACUAGGCAUAUACAUGUUAAUGUUAGGUUUGUUUUUUUUUUUAAGAUUUAUUUAUUCAUUUAUUUGACAGACUGAGAUCACAAGUAGGCAGAGAGGCAGAUAGAGAGGGGGAAGCAGGCUCCUGGCUGUGCAGAGAGAUGUGAGGCUCUAUUCCAGGAUCCUAUGAUCACAACCUGAGCCAAAGGCAGAGGCCUUAACCCACUGAGCCACCCGGGUCCCCCUGUUGUUAGGUCUUUAAGACAGACUACCUUUUUAUCUUUAUGAAACAUCCUUAUCUUUGGUAAUUGCUAUCUUUAAGUCUAUUGGUAGAAAUAUUGUCACAUCAGCCUCCUUACACUUAUGUAUACAUCAUAUAUCUUCUUCCAUCUACUUUUAAUCCAUUAUUUUCUUCAGAACUUUUCUGUUCACUGUAGAAAAUAAGACAAUAAUUAUAUAAAGUAGAAAUUAAAUAUCUCAAGCCCCACUCUUUUUUAAUGUAUACAAAAUAACUUCUGUCUAUAAAACACAAUACUUUUAAAAAAUAUAUGCUAAGAUAUUAAAUAUCCAUAACCUGUAGAUUUCAUUUAAUGAUAUAGAAAGGGAAAGCUUAACAGGAGAAGAUGCUGGAGGAGUCCUCGUGGGUGAUAAGUAACUUGCUUUCUCUUGUGGAAAAGGAGAAUGAAAGAAGUGGUGACAGGGAGACUGAGGUAGAUGGGACAACAUUUAUGUCUCAGAGAAGACCUUGUGCAAAGGUGAUAGGUGGCCACUGCAGGAGGAAAAGGAGUCUACCAAAUGCCGUGGGGCAGAGAUUUUUUUUUUUAAGGGUGGAGAAUUUUAUAUGGAGAGUGGUGGGAAAUGAAAAUGGAAAGGUGGAAGGGUGGCUCAGAUAAAAAAGGGCCCAAUAUGCCAUGCUUGAAUGUGAACUUUAUAAAAACUCACGAUAUAGAGAGCCGUACAAGGAGUUCAGGCAAUUGAAUAAUAUCAGAUGAAUGAUUUCAAAUUAUCACUAUUUCUCAAGGUCAGACAACUAUGACUUUCAUAUUUUAGUCCCAGCAUUUAAUGACUGACAUUAUGAAGAAAUUAUUUAACUAUCCGCUCAGUUCCCUUAUUUGCAAAAUGAGGACAGUGGGAGAAGGGUUGUGAAGGCUGCAUGAGGUAACCCAGGUGAAAGUGCCUGGUCGCGUGCCUGGGAUGUAGUAAGUUCUCAGCAAACGUCUGUUUCCCUUUACUGCCUAUCUUGUUUUGGUUGUGUCCUGGUUGGCUAAAAAAACCAAUUUAUAAAAGUAUUAUUCUCUUACUGAAGGGGUGGUGGGGUGGAGAAAGGUG